AUACGUAGGUGACAAGCGUUAUCCGGAUUUACUGGGCGUAAAGGGCGUGUAGGCGGUCUUGCAAGUCAGAAGUGAAAUUCCUGAGCUCAACUCGGGCGCUGCUUCUGAAACUGCAGGACUUGAGUGCUGGAGGGGAUAGCGGAAUUCCUAGUGGAGCGGUAAAAUGCGCAGAUAUUAGGAAGAACACCGGUGGCGAAGGCGGCUAUCUGGACAGUAACUGACGCUGAGGCGCGAAAGCGUGGGGAGCAAACAGGAUUAGAUACCCUGGUAGUCUACGCCGUAAACGAUGAAUACUAGGUGUAGGGGGUAUCGACUCCCUCUGUGCCGCAGUUAACACAAUAAGUAUUCCGCCUGGGGAGUACGGCCGCAAGGUUGAAACUCAAAUGAAUUGACGGGG
rnacentral:rRNA from 1 species